rnacentral:tRNA from 1 species
UUGGGGAUGUAGCUCAGUGGUAGAGUACUUGCUUAGCAUGUGCAAGGCCCUGGGUUUAAUCCCCAAUUCUGCAAG